UGGGGAAUUUUGGACAAUGGGCGAAAGCCUGAUCCAGCAAUGCCGCGUGUGUGAGGAAGGCCUUCGGGUUGUAAAGCACUUUUGUCCGGAAAGAAAUCCUUGGCUCUAAUACAGUCGGGGGAUGACGGUACCGGAAGAAUAAGCACCGGCUAACUACGUGCCAGCAGCCGCGGUAAUACGUAGGGUGCAAGCGUUAAUCGGAAUUACUGGGCGUAAAGCGUGCGCAGGCGGUUUGCUAAGACCGAUGUGAAAUCCCCGGGCUCAACCUGGGAACUGCAUUGGUGACUGGCAGGCUAGAGUAUGGCAGAGGGGGGUAGAAUUCCACGUGUAGCAGUGAAAUGCGUAGAGAUGUGGAGGAAUACCGAUGGCGAAGGCAGCCCCCUGGGCCAAUACUGACGCUCAUGCACGAAAGCGUGGGGAGCAAACAGGAUUAGAUACCCUGGUAGUCCACGCCCUAAACGAUGUCAACUAGUUGUUGGGGAUUCAUUUCCUUAGUAACGUAGCUAACGCGUGAAGUUGACCGCCUGGGGAGUACGGUCGCAAGAUUAAAACUCAAAGGAAUUGACGGGGUCAUAGCUGUUUCCU
rnacentral:rRNA from 1 species